AUGAUCUUUUCUAUUUUACACUCACAGAGGGUGGGACAAGAGGAAGAAUGAAGGAAAAAAGGUCAA
rnacentral:sRNA from 1 species